AAGGAGAGAGCAGGGACCUCGAGAGGCGGUUGGGAAAAAUAGUUUUGAACGGUCAUCCAACUCGGAAUUCCAAGUCAGAACCUCAAGCAUCAUUCUAGAGCUCCGUCUUUUCGACCUGAAGAUCACUGACGUCGUGAUUUGACCUUGUUGAUCAUCAGAUGCAGUUGCUGACCAGAAGCAAUGGAGGACACCUGUAGAUGCCGAAUGAGUCCAAUCAAUCUAAAGACAUCAUUAAGGUUGCUGGGUCAUUCCGUGGAUGACGUGAGGAGGACAGAGAACCCCCCCCUUCCACCCCAGCCCCGCCCCCUGUGUCUCUAUCUGCCGCUGUGUCCUAUGGCUUUUUAUUCCUAUAUGAUGUCAGAUUGGGCUUAUGUAGGGAUAGAAGCCACUUAACACACGGUGAAAGAGCUUCAUGAAGGCAGCACGGGGAGAGAAAAAAAACUGGAAUUGUACCAGUCCUAGUUGGCUUGCUUUACAAUGUCCCAUAUGCCUGGUACAUAUGGUUUGAUGAAUGUUUCCUGCUUCUGGUUUCAUGUUCCCUGUAGUAAGGCUACAUUUGUGCUCUUCCUUCAGAUAAUGAGCUAGCAGCUCAUUGAAGUGUUCAGAGAAGAGUGAGUCAGAUGCUGUUAUGGUUGUCGGUGCACCUCUUUUUGCUUCCAGGCACAAACGGCCUUCACCGUUUUUCAAUUUAUGAUGCUGUGGUGACAGCGGGCGUCUGCAGGGACGGAUGUUGGAACAUUUGCAAAAGAUGCCAUAAACAAAAGGAAGAAACAAGCGCGGAGAAACCAAUGCAUAUUUUUAAUAACCAACUUUAAGAGGCACUAAGUGAACCACUUUACAAUACAAGAGGCAUUGCAUUUCCAUGUAUUUUCUCUCUCGCUCUCGCUCUCUCUCUCUGAUUCUGUUGCACAUUAUUAAAAUAAAACUUUGACAUUGAGCAUUGCACCAGAAAAUCAUCUACCUACAAUAUAAUACAAUGUAAGAUACAUAUAAACAAGAUAAAGCACCUUUUUUGUCUUAGUAAAUAAUAUUCAUAAUUAAACAGUUGGAGGACAGACA